GGGCAUGGUUCAAUGGUAGAAUAGCGGUCUCCAAAACCGUCGAUGGGAGUUCGAUUCUCUCUGCCC
rnacentral:tRNA from 1 species